CUACGGGAGGCUGCAGUGAGGAAUAUUUGUCCAUGGGCGCAAGCCUGAACCAGCCAAGUCGCGUGAGGGAUGACGGUCCUAUGGAUUGUAAACCUCUUUUGUCGGGGAGCAAGGCCCGCCACGUGUGGCGGGAAGGAGAGUACCCGAAGAAAAAGCAUCGGCUAACUCCGUGCCAGCAGCCGCGGUAAUACGGGGGAUGCGAGCGUUAUCCGGAUUUAUUGGGUUUAAAGGGUGCGUAGGCGGGCUUUUAAGUCAGCGGUAAAAAUUCGGGGCUCAACCCCGUCCGGCCGUUGAAACUGGGGGCCUUGAGUGGGCGAGAAGAAGGCGGAAUGCGUGGUGUAGCGGUGAAAUGCAUAGAUAUCACGCAGAACCCCGAUUGCGAAGGCAGCCUUCCGGCGCCCUACUGACGCUGAGGCACGAAAGUGCGGGGAUCGAACAGGAUUAGAUACCCGUGUAGUC
rnacentral:rRNA from 1 species